UUAAGUUAUUAAGGGCGCACGGUGGAUGCCUUGGCACUAGAAGCCGAUGAAGGACGUUACUAACGACGAUAUGCUUUGGGGAGCUGUAAGUAAGCUUUGAUCCAGAGAUUUCCGAAUGGGGAAACCCAGCAUGAGUUAUGUCAUGUUAUCGAUAUGUGAAUACAUAGCAUAUCAGAAGGCACACCCGGAGAACUGAAACAUCUUAGUACCCGGAGGAAGAGAAAGAAAAUUCGAUUCCCUUAGUAGCGGCGAGCGAAACGGGAAGAGCCCAAACCAACAAGCUUGCUUGUUGGGGUUGUAGGACACUCUGUACGGAGUUACAAAGGACGACAUUAGACGAAUCAUCUGGAAAGAUGAAUCAAAGAAGGUAAUAAUCCUGUAGUCGAAAAUGUUGUCUCUCUUGAGUGGAUCCUGAGUACGACGGAGCACGUGAAAUUCCGUCGGAAUCUGGGAGGACCAUCUCCUAAGGCUAAAUACUCUCUAGUGACCGAUAGUGAACCAGUACCGUGAGGGAAAGGUGAAAAGCACCCCGGAAGGGGAGUGAAAUAGAACCUGAAACCGUGUGCUUACAAGUAGUCAGAGCCCGUUAAUGGGUGAUGGCGUGCCUUUUGUAGAAUGAACCGGCGAGUUACGAUUUGAUGCAAGGUUAAGCAGUAAAUGUGGAGCCGUAGCGAAAGCGAGUCUGAAUAGGGCGUUUAGUAUUUGGUCGUAGACCCGAAACCAGGUGAUCUACCCUUGGUCAGGUUGAAGUUCAGGUAACACUGAAUGGAGGACCGAACCGACUUACGUUGAAAAGUGAGCGGAUGAACUGAGGGUAGCGGAGAAAUUCCAAUCGAACCUGGAGAUAGCUGGUUCUCUCCGAAAUAGCUUUAGGGCUAGCCUCAAGUGAUGAUUAUUGGAGGUAGAGCACUGUUUGGACGAGGGGCCGCUCUCGGGUUACCGAAUUCAGACAAACUCCGAAUGCCAAUUAAUUUAACUUGGGAGUCAGAACAUGGGUGAUAAGGUCCGUGUUCGAAAGGGAAACAGCCCAGACCACCAGCUAAGGUCCCAAAAUAUAUGUUAAGUGGAAAAGGAUGUGGCGUUGCCCAGACAACUAGGAUGUUGGCUUAGAAGCAGCCAUCAUUUAAAGAGUGCGUAAUAGCUCACUAGUCGAGUGACACUGCGCCGAAAAUGUACCGGGGCUAAACAUAUUACCGAAGCUGUGGAUUGUCCUUUGGACAAUGGUAGGAGAGCGUUCUAAGGGCGUUGAAGCAUGAUCGUAAGGACAUGUGGAGCGCUUAGAAGUGAGAAUGCCGGUGUGAGUAGCGAAAGACGGGUGAGAAUCCCGUCCACCGAUUGACUAAGGUUUCCAGAGGAAGGCUCGUCCGCUCUGGGUUAGUCGGGUCCUAAGCUGAGGCCGACAGGCGUAGGCGAUGGAUAACAGGUUGAUAUUCCUGUACCACCUAUAAUCGUUUUAAUCGAUGGGGGGACGCAGUAGGAUAGGCGAAGCGUGCGAUUGGAUUGCACGUCUAAGCAGUAAGGCUGAGUAUUAGGCAAAUCCGGUACUCGUUAAGGCUGAGCUGUGAUGGGGAGAAGACAUUGAGUCUUCGAGUCGUUGAUUUCACACUGCCGAGAAAAGCCUCUAGAUAGAAAAUAGGUGCCCGUACCGCAAACCGACACAGGUAGUCAAGAUGAGAAUUCUAAGGUGAGCGAGCGAACUCUCGUUAAGGAACUCGGCAAAAUGACCCCGUAACUUCGGGAGAAGGGGUGCUCUUUAGGGUUAACGCCCAGAAGAGCCGCAGUGAAUAGGCCCAAGCGACUGUUUAUCAAAAACACAGGUCUCUGCUAAACCGUAAGGUGAUGUAUAGGGGCUGACGCCUGCCCGGUGCUGGAAGGUUAAGAGGAGUGGUUAGCUUCUGCGAAGCUACGAAUCGAAGCCCCAGUAAACGGCGGCCGUAACUAUAACGGUCCUAAGGUAGCGAAAUUCCUUGUCGGGUAAGUUCCGACCCGCACGAAAGGCGUAACGAUUUGGGCACUGUCUCAACGAGAGACUCGGUGAAAUCAUAGUACCUGUGAAGAUGCAGGUUACCCGCGACAGGACGGAAAGACCCCGUGGAGCUUUACUGUAGCCUGAUAUUGAAAUUCGGCACAGCUUGUACAGGAUAGGUAGGAGCCUUUGAAACGUGAGCGCUAGCUUACGUGGAGGCGCUGGUGGGAUACUACCCUAGCUGUGUUGGCUUUCUAACCCGCACCACUUAUCGUGGUGGGAGACAGUGUCAAGCGGGCAGUUUGACUGGGGCGGUCGCCUCCUAAAAGGUAACGGAGGCGCUCAAAGGUUCCCUCAGAAUGGUUGGAAAUCAUUCAUAGAGUGUAAAGGCAUAAGGGAGCUUGACUGCGAGACCUACAAGUCGAGCAGGGUCGAAAGACGGACUUAGUGAUCCGGUGGUUCCGCAUGGAAGGGCCAUCGCUCAACGGAUAAAAGCUACCCCGGGGAUAACAGGCUUAUCUCCCCCAAGAGUUCACAUCGACGGGGAGGUUUGGCACCUCGAUGUCGGCUCAUCGCAUCCUGGGGCUGUAGUCGGUCCCAAGGGUUGGGCUGUUCGCCCAUUAAAGCGGUACGCGAGCUGGGUUCAGAACGUCGUGAGACAGUUCGGUCCCUAUCCGUCGUGGGCGUAGGAAAUUUGAGAGGAGCUGUCCUUAGUACGAGAGGACCGGGAUGGACAUACCUCUGGUGUACCAGUUGUCGUGCCAACGGCAUAGCUGGGUAGCUAUGUGUGGACGGGAUAAGUGCUGAAAGCAUCUAAGCAUGAAGCCCCCCUCAAGAUGAGAUUUCCCAACUUCGGUUAUAAGAUCCCUCAAAGAUGAUGAGGUUAAUAGGUUCGAGGUGGAAGCAUGGUGACAUGUGGAGCUGACGAAUACUAAUCGAUCGAAGACUUAAUCAA
rnacentral:rRNA from 1 species